GGAGAGGUGGCUGAGUGGUCGAAAGCGGCACCCUGCUAAGGUGUUAUUCGUGCAAACGGAUCGAGGGUUCGAAUCCCUCCCUCUCCGCCA
rnacentral:tRNA from 1 species